AACGAACGCUGGCGGCAUGCCUAACACAUGCAAGUCGAACGAGACCUUCGGGUCUAGUGGCGCACGGGUGCGUAACGCGUGGGAACCUGCCCUUAGGUUCGGAAUAACUCCCCGAAAGGGGUGCUAAUACCGGUUAAUGUCUUCGGACCAAAGAUUUAUCGCCUUUGGAUGGGCCCGCGUUGGAUUAGCUAGUUGGUAGGGUAAAAGCCUACCAAGGCGACGAUCCAUAGCUGGUCUGAGAGGAUGAUCAGCCACACUGGGACUGAGACACGGCCCAGACUCCUACGGGAGGGAGCAGUGGGGAAUAUUGGACGAUGGGCGAAAGCCUGAUCCAGCAAUGCCGCGUGAGUGAUGAAGGCCUUAGGGUUGUAAAGCUCUUUUACCCGGGAUGAUAAUGACAGUACCGGGAGAAUAAGCACCGGCUAACUCCGUG
rnacentral:rRNA from 1 species